UGAAUAUUUCAAUUGGAAUUGUCAAAAUAAUCCAUAAUCUCAAAAACACUUGGAAAAAGAAGAGUAUUUCAAAGAAUAAUUAUGCUUACAAUUUCAAGAGUAUCAAUUACAGGAAAGAAACACUGUUAUUCAAUAUGAAAUAAAUCAAGUAAAAUAAAUGCCUUAUAAUCAUAAUAAUGUUGAAAAUUAGGAGACUUCAAGCUAAUGCUUGUGAUAAUUUCAUCUAAAAAUUCCACAACCAAUUUAGAAGGAUAUCUUGUCCUUCAAACUUUCAAAAUUAAAUUCAAAUAAAUAAAAGUAAAUGAGAGACACCUGUAUAAUUUACAUUUACAACCAUUUAAGUGAUAAGAUCUAUUUCCAAAAUAUGUAAAAAGCAAAAACAAAACAAAGUUAUUAUAUGGCACAUAAAAUGUAACAACCUCAAAAUUAUCACUAAACUUGUAAUACACUAUGUACAAAAGAAUGAAGAGAAACAUGCUUCUUUUUUUCAUCCAGGCCUUUCAGUGUCUUUCAUGACAAUAACAAAAAUAUACAAUUGGAAAGGCAGAAGCAACAUAUACUGUAGUCCUGCAAUUUUUCUAGAACGUUUUUUUGUUUUUCUCGGAUGUAUAUAAAACAACUUAGUAUGAAGGUUCCAAAUAAAAUUUGCAUAGCUUUCAUCAUUAAAAAUCGACUUCCCAAGUGUAUUUCC
rnacentral:lncRNA from 1 species